rnacentral:lncRNA from 1 species
AGUGUCCACCUCCCAGUCACAGUGUGACCCCAGGGAACUCUUGCCUGCUUGCUUUAAACCCACCACUUAAAAGUCUCCACAGAAAACCUGUUUGAAUAGUACCCUUGACCCAAUAAGGGCAUUGGCCCCUGGGUGUCUCUCUCUCUCUCUCUCUCUCUCUCUCCCUCUCUCUCCCUCUCUCUCUCUCGCUCCCUGACCUCUGCGUGUGGACUCCAGGCAUGCCAUAUACCCCUCAGGACCUGUAAGUAAUACUAUCUUUAUUUUUAUUUUAUAUCUCUCCUAAUCAUUGAAAAGGUGCUCUCUAUCUUGAAGAUACUAUAUUAAAUAAAAUGAGAACUUGUCCCUAACACAGUUAGUGAUAGGCUGAAACACGCUGAUUGCACUCUUUACCCAUUUAGUGAUUUUUCUCAAGUUACUCUACACCAUGUAUUAUCAACAUAAUUGAUAUUACAGAAUAGAAUUAUAAGACACUUCUUUUGCCACAGAAAGUUCUAUUGGACUCAGAUUAUCUAGAGCUACUACAUGUAUGCUAUUCUAUGAUAAAAGAUGUAGAUGUGAUAAAAACAUUUAUAAAAUAUCUGUCUUAGAAAAGUUAGCUAAAAUUAUUUUGGGAAAAGUAUGUUUGAAAAUAGAAUCGUAAGCUACCACAUUGUGAUAAAUAUUUCUAAAUGUGUCUAUUAACUUGUCAGGAGACAACAGAGUGAAUUAAAACAGUAGCCUUGUAUCAGUAUGUUUUUAUUCAGAAGACAAAUGCACGUUUUAACUAUUAUAUGUUCUUGGCUUAACUUUUUUUGUAAAGUUAAGACAUUACACUUUUACAUGAAUCUGUAAUUUCAAGAUAUCUUAAUGGUUGACAGGGACAGGACAAUUGAAGAAAACCUGUAAAUACAUUUGGUAAAAUUUAUGAUGGAUUGUUUUGCAGAUGGCUUCAGAGGUUAUUAGCACAUCUGUUUGAGAUAUGCACAGUUUUACAUUUGUCCCUUAGGUAAUCAACAGGGCUGAGAUCAGUAAAUCACAUGUAAGCCACUGUUAUGAGGCUAUUCUGAAUAGAGUUACAUCAUUUUAUCAUAUCUAGACUUUCUAGUUAUAUUGGUGCUGUUGAAAAUGAUUUUGUAUUACAUGCUUUCUUCCAAAUCAUAGAUCAAGAUAUUUUAUUUAUGUAUGUCUUUUAAAUGAAGAGUGGUUAGGAUAGUCCUGAUUAUUGCACAUAAAUAUUGCCUUUCACUAGAUUAUUGUUUUGGGCCAAAUUUUAGACUAUUAUUUUAAAAAAGAGUACCUUAGUUUAAUCCAACCUUUCCAGAUACUUAGAAAUUAUUGAAAUGUAUAUUUUGUGAAGAUGGUCUUAUGAAAGUUGUUGAGCUAGAAACAUGUCCUUCACCAGUGGAAUUCUUAGAAGCUUUCCUUGGGCUUCACUGGGUGCUAAUAGACCAUGAUCGUAUUGCUCUGUAUAUAAUGGUACAAAUUUUGUUUUAUAACACUCAGUCUUAAUAGAAUGGGAAUAUUUUAUCUUACUAACGUAGUCAUUAGCUGGCCACUCUCUGUGUCCAUUGGACCUUAUAGGGUAAAGGGAGGGCAGUGCGUAUUUGAAGCCUGUGCACGUGACACACAAAGGGCUUAGCAACCUCCGUGUUUUCCCAGCACAGGAUACCCAUUCUUCCUGAAUGUUUCAUUGUUAAAUUAGAUUGUGUGUGUGUGUGUGUGUGUGUGUGUGUAUUUUAUAUUAACAUACAGAUGUAUGUAUUUUAGUUGCAUUUUUUUUCUUAAAAUGUUAUUUUUUCUCUUUUUCUUUUAUGUCAGGUGAUGAUAGAGCCCCUAGGGAAGCAAAACUGUCCAUGCCCUUGCCUUAACUUUCAGAUACGAUAAAAACAACAUUUAUAAAAUACCUGUCUUAGAAAUAUUAGCUAAAAUUAUGUUGGGGAAAGUAUGUUUGAAAAUAGAAUUGUAAGCUACCACAUUGUGAUAAAUAUUACUAAAUUUGUUUAUUGACUUGUCAGGAAGCAAAAGAAUGAAUUAAAGAAAACUCCAGAGAAUGAGCUGACAACCUACUCCCUGGUCAGUGGCUCUCCAUGCCUACCUGUGGUCUCUUGGACACCCUUGCAGAUGACUUCCUGGGAACUCUUCUGGGAGUGAAU